AUAAAUAAGUGGUCUAACCAAAAGAAGAGUUAAAUUAAUCAAAAUUUAUAUUUUAAUCCUGGUAAGUGGGUAGCUGGAGAUAACAAAGUUUAAACAAGAAUGUGUUUAUCAUAGAUUAAAUAGGGGUAAAGAUAACAAUAAUGCUCAUAGAGUUUAGGACAAGCUUAACCAUGUUACAAGAUUGCAUUUUUGUUUUUUGAGGGGACUUAAGAUUGAAAAAAUAACAAUAAAGAAUUUGACAUGCAAUAUUGACUUUCAGAAG
rnacentral:misc_RNA from 1 species